ACGUGCCAAAUGCAUACUUGAAAGCAGGAAAAGAUCCUUGCAUACUUCUUCUUCCUCCAAAUGCAUACUGUUUCUACUUUUAGGGUUUCAGACAUAUUCAAAUGAGUUGCAACUUAAAGUGUUCUCGGUAAUGGUUCUAUAAUUCACGGGUAAGCAUAGGAUUCUUGCAUAACUCAAGCGCCUCGAUCAUGACAUCAAAUUCCUUCCGGUUCUUUCUUUCUUUCUUAUAAUUUUGAUUUGCUUACUAAUAAAGUGAAAUCUAAUUUUGUUGCAAGCAAACUUCUUUGCAAAUUCUGAAUUGUCUGUUAUCCGUCA